rnacentral:rRNA from 1 species
UACGUAGGGGGCAAGCGUUGUCCGGAAUCAUUGGGCGUAAAGCGCGCGUAGGCGGCCCGGUAAGUCCGUUGUGAAAGUCAAAGGCUCAACCUUUGAAUGCCGAUGGAUACUGCCGGGCUAGAGUCCGGAAGAGGCGAGUGGAAUUCCUGGUGUAGCGGUGGAAUGCGUAGAUAUCGGAAGGAACACCAGUGGCGAAAGCGGCUUCCUGGUCCAGCACCGACGUUCAGGCACGAAAGCGUGGGGAGCAAACAGG